UACAUACAUAACGUCGUCCAUAUUAUAUAUAUACAUACAUAACGUCGUCCAUAUUAUAUAUAUACAUACAUAACGUCUCUGUAAGGGAAGCGAUGAAGGCUCCUGUCAAACCUUUGGGACGUUCAAUCUGCUGACAGCGGGUUCGCCGCUGACGUUCGACCAAUGAGAGUGAAUGGAACGCCGCUUCCCCGGGAAACGCUGCGUUCUACACCUCGCGCUCCGAAAGUCUCUACGCAUGCGCGGUCCGCCUCGCUGUGCGGAAGUUGGUAAUGUUUUGAUUUUCCAUGUUGUCAACAUGCACGGCUACGUUGACUGUCACUGUCAUAUCUCCGCGAGGGAGUUUGACGAGGACAUAGAGGAGGUGGUUGAGAGUUCAAAACAGGCUGGGUGUGUAGCCCUGUUAGCCGUGGCCGAGCAUGCUGGGGAGUUUGACAAGAUCAUUGAGUUGUCCCGGAGGUUUCCAGGUUUUAUUUUUCCCUGCCUGGGAGUCCACCCUGUUCAGGACGUUUCCCCGGGGCAGCAGAGAGGGAGCUUCUCUCGAGGAUUUAGAUGCUGCUCUUCCCAUUAUAGAGAAAUACAAAGAGCACCUUGUGGCCAUUGGAGAGGUUGGUUUGGAUUUUACACCCAGGUUUGUGAGCGGGGAGACGGACAAAGAGAACCAGAGGAACGUCCUGAUCCGUCAGGCUCACAUAGCAAAGCGCCUGGAUCUCCCUCUAAAUGUUCAUUCCCGUUCUGCAGGACGACCCACCAUCCAGCUCCUGAAGGAACACGGUAACGUUCAGCCCCUCCGCUCUUUGACUUUACUUAUUUUAGAAACAGACGGGACGUCCUGUGUUUGUCCACCAGGUGUCCACAAAGCGCUGCUUCAUGCUUUCGAUGGGAAACCGUCUGUCGCCCUGGAGGGCGUGAAGGCCGGGUAUUACUUCUCUAUCCCGCCGUCCAUCAUCCGCAGUGAGCAGAAGCAGAAGCUGGUGAAACAGCUGCCGCUGGAGAACAUCUGUCUGGAGACUGAUUCUCCGGCGCUCGGCCCAGAAAAGCAGUCUGCUGCCUCAGCGUUUCUGAAGAGUGAUCAGAUGAAGUCCCUCAGUGCCAUGAAGAUGAACUUAAUCCCAGAAACAAAACAUUUACAAACACCACGAGCGUCUCCUGAAGUGGAUUCAGCUGCAGGAUCGCAGCAGCACCGGUGCACAGCUGCCAUCAGUCCUGCCAACAGUAAAGCAUCCUGACCAUGUGUGGGAGGGGGCUAACUCAGGAACAGGAACCAGAACAUCCUCCGAGAGCAACUUCUCCCAACCAUCCAACAACAGCUGACUCUGCAUCAACGUGAGGAAUGAGCCCAGGAACAUCUGCAUCUCUGCCGAGUACAUCGCUCGGGUUAAAGGCGUGUCGCUGCAGGAGGUGAUGGAGGUGACGACGCAGAACGCUCUGCGACUCUUCCCAAAGAUAAAGUCUGCCAUCA